GUACGGCCACAUCGGGACUGAGACACUGCCCGGACAUCUACGGAUGGCUGCAGUAACGAAUCUUCCGCAAUGGGCGAAAGCCUGACGGAGCAAUGCCGCGUGAAGGACGAAGUCCUUCGGGAUGUAAACUUCUUUUGAGGUGAAGAAAGCAAGGCUGGUGAACAUCCAGUCAAGCGGAUCUAGCCUCGAAUAAGCCUCGGCUAACUCUGUGCCAGCAGCCGCGGUAAUACAGAGGAGGCAAGCGUUGUUCGGAAUCACUGGGCUUAAAGCGCGUGUAGGCGGCCCGUCAAGUACCUUGUGAAAUCCCUCGGCUCAACCGGGGAAUGGCUGGGUAUACUGUCGGGCUUGAGGUUGGUAGGGGUGCCUGGAACUCUAGGUGGAGCGGUGAAAUGCGUAGAUAUCUAGAGGAACGCCCGUGGCGAAAGCGGGGCACUGGGCCAUACCUGACGCUAAGACGCGAAAGCGUGGGGAGCAAACGGGAUUAGAUACCCCGGUAGUCCACGCCGUAAACGAUGCGCACAAGGUUCACAAGACUCUGACGUCGGGUGAGCCGAAACAAAAGUGUUAAGUGCGCCGCCUGGGGAGUACGGCCGCAAGGCUAAAACUCAAAGGAAUUGACGGGGGCUCACACAAGCGGUGGAGCAUGUGGCUUAAUUCGAAGCAACGCGAAGAACCUGACCUGGGUUUGACAUGCAUGGAUUAGUUCUGUGAAAGCAGAAUGACGCGGCUUGCCGUGGAACAUGCACAGGUGCUGCAUGGCUGUCGUCAGCUCGUGUCGUGAGAUGUCGGGUUAAGUCCCCUAACGAGCGAAACCCUUGUCGCUAGUUGCUAACAGGUAAUGCUGAGCACUUUAGCGAGACUGCCGGUGUUAAACCGGAGGAAGGUGGGGAUGACGUCAAGUCCUCAUGGCCUUUAUGCCCAGGGCUGCACACGUGCUACAAUGGGAUGGUACAAAGCGACGCGAAGCCGCGAGGCGGAGCAAAUCGCAGAAAACUUCCCUCAGUUCGGAUUGCAGGCUGCAACUCGCCUGCAUGAAGCUGGAAUCGCUAGUAAUCGCGCAUCAGCUAUGGCGCGGUGAAUAUGUUCCUGAGCCUUGUACACACCGCCCGUCAUGUCAUGGGAGCUGGUAGUACCCGAAGUCCGCUUAGCCAACCGCAAGGAGGCGGCGGCCGACGGUAAGACCGGUGACUGGGACUAAGUCGUAACAAGGUA
rnacentral:rRNA from 1 species